rnacentral:snRNA from 2 species
GUGCUCGCUUCGGCAGCACACAUUCUAAAAUUGGAACAAUACAGAGAAGAUUAGCAUGGCCCUUGCACAGGGAUGACAUGCAAAUCCGUGAAGCCUUCCAUAUUAAA